UACGUAGGUGGCGAGCGUUGUCCGGAUUUAUUGGGCGUAAAGCGCGCGCAGGCGGUUGUCUAAGUCUGCUGUGAAAUCUCCCGGCUCAACUGGGAGGGGGCGGCGGAGACUGGGCGACUGGAGGGACCUAGAGGCCGGUGGAAUUCCCGGUGUAGUGGUGAAAUGCGUAGAGAUCGGGAGGAACACCUGUGGCGAAAGCGGCGCACUGGACCACAACUGACGCUGAGGCGCGAAAGCUAGGGGAGCAAACAGG
rnacentral:rRNA from 1 species